AUGUAUAUAUUUCUUGAACCUGUUUCCCAACUUAGCAUGCAGUUCCAUGAUCAAGAGCUGUUCUUCAGGAGUAAUAUUCCCUCUUCGAAGGUCAGGCCGCAAGUAGUUGAGCCAACGGAGCCUACAACUCUUUCCGGAAAAAAGGCUGACAGAGAAGAAAUGGUGCAACAGAUUACCUGCAGCUUUUGCAAGCGAGUUCCAUACACCUUCACCAUGGUUCGCGAUGUAGUUGGUUAAGAUCAAGUCUUCUUCCAAGGUCCAUGGCCCUUUUCUCACUUCAACAUCCUGAGAGUUGCAUGGACUUUUAUCCAUUUCUUUUUCUUGGAGAGAGAGAGAGAGAGAGAGAGAGAGAGAGAGAGAGAGAGAGAGAGGUAUAAGAGGUUUGAAAGAGAAAGAGAGAGGGGGAGGGGGAGGGGAGAGAGUGAUAUAAUGAGAUAAGGAGGGUUGCUAUGGGUUUUUGUAAGGAAAUCUAAGAUAAUAUAAUAUUAUCUAGCUGGUAAUCGACA